CAGCACCUCAAGUGGUCAGGAUGAUUAUUGGGCCUAAAGCAUCCGUAGCCGGCGCUGUAAGUUUUCGGUUAAAUCUGUACGCUCAACGUACAGGCUGCCGGGAAUACUGCAGCGCUAGGGAGUGAGAGAGGUAGACGGUACUCGGUAGGAAGGGGUAAAAUCCUUUGAUCUAUUGAUGACCACCUGUGGCGAAGGCGGUCUACCAGAACACGUCCGACGGUGAGGGAUGAAAGCUGGGGAGCAAACCGGAUUAGAUACCCGCGUAGUCC
rnacentral:rRNA from 1 species